rnacentral:rRNA from 1 species
UACGGAGGGUGCGAGCGUUGUCCGGAAUCACUGGGCGUAAAGGGCGCGUAGGUGGCGGGACAAGCGUGCGGUGAAAGCUCGGGGCUCAACCCCCGCGUCGGCCGUGCGAACUGUUUUGCUUGAGCACUGUAGAGGCAGGCGGAAUUCCGGGUGUAGCGGUGGAAUGCGUAGAGAUCCGGAAGAACACCGGUGGCGAAGGCGGCCUGCUGGGCAGUAGCUGACACUGAGGCGCGACAGCGUGGGGAGCAAACAGG